GGCGAAUCACCGCCGCUUGCGGCGGCGCCGUUGCCGGAGCACGGCGGAGCCGCCGUGCCGGAAUUGCGAUAUUGGCCAAAAAGGGGCCCUGGGCCUAAUUUGGGAUUUUUUGGAACACGUGCAGGUACCAGUAGUGCGUUUCAGUUCCCCAGAAAAAAUUCAGGAAAAAUUAGGGACAGCCUGUAGGCACACUGUGAAGCCGUGUUCGGACUCCGAAACGAGUAAGGACCCCUCACCCUAUUUCCUAUCACGGUAUUAAAGUUCAAUAAAUGAUAAAACGGUAUUUCAUGAAUCAAUAGAUGUGUGAAAUUGUUUAAGGUCGCUAAUGGAGCCCGAGUUUAGUGUGUUUGUCAGUUAACUGUUAUUUGGCCUAUUUUACAGUUUUAAAUGCAGUAUGAGGUUUGAUGUUUUCAUUU
rnacentral:lncRNA from 1 species